rnacentral:rRNA from 1 species
GACGAACGCUGGCGGCGUGCUUAACACAUGCAAGUCGAACGGAAAGGCCCUGCUUUUGUGGGGUGCUCGAGUGGCGAACGGGUGCGUAACACGUGAGUAACCUGCCCUUCACUUUGGGAUAACUUCAGGAAACUGGGGCUAAUACCGGAUAGCAGCUCCUGCUGCAUGGUGGGGGUUGGAAAGUUUCGGCGGGUGGGGAUGGACUCGCGGCUUAUCGGCUUGUUGGUGGGGUAGUGGCUUACCAAGGCUUUGACGGGUAGCCGGCAUGGGAGCGUGGCCGGCGACAUUGGGACUGAGAUACGGCCCAGACUCCAACGGGAGGCAGCGGUGGGGAGUAUGGCACAAUGGGCGGAAGCCUGAUGCAGAGACCCCGCGUGCGGAAUGACGGCCUUCGGGGUGUAAACCGCUUUCGCCUGUGACGAAGCGUGAGUGACGGUAAUGGGUAAAGAAGCACCGGCUAACUACGUG